UACGUAGGGUGCAAGCGUUGUCCGGAAUCAUUGGGCGUAAAGAGCGCGUAGGCGGCUCGUUAAGUCUGCUGUGAAAGUCCAGGGCUCAACCCUGGAAGGCCGGUGGAAACUGUCGGGCUAGAGUCCGGAAGAGGCGAGUGGAAUUCCCGGUGUAGCGGUGAAAUGCGCAGAUAUCGGGAGGAACACCAAUGGCGAAGGCAGCUCGCUGGGACGGUACUGACGCUGAGACGCGAAAGCGUGGGGAGCAAACAGG
rnacentral:rRNA from 1 species